UCAAGUACCGUGAGGGAAAGUUGAAAAGAACUUUGAAGAGAGAGUUCAACAGUACGUGAAACCGUUCAGAGGUAAACGGAUGGGACCGCAAAGUCGGCCCGCGGAAUUCAGCCAGUCGUGCGUGCGUCGUCGUCGCGUCCGGAUCCUUGCGGACCGGCACGGUGGCGAGCGUGCGUGCGUCGGGUGCCCUUUCCGCGGGUUGAGCGCCACGACCGGUUCGUUGGCGGCCUCAAGCCUCGGGAGAAGGUGACCGAGAGCGGGCGCGUUCGCGUGUUCCCCGUCUCUCGGUGUUAUAGCUCUCGUCGGCAUUGGCCCGUCGACGGACCGAGGAACAUUCUGUUGCCCGCCGCGGCGCGUGCGCCGGGCCCCGGUGUUGGUCGUACGACUGGUGAAGACUGUGCUCAGUGUUCGCCGACUGCGGCUGCUCGGGGACUCGGUUCCACACGCGCUCACGCUCAGGGUCUGUGGCGAAUCGGUCGGCCGCCUAUCCGACCCGUCUUGAAACACGGACCAGGGAGUCUAACAUGUGCGCGAGUCACGGAGUCACACUAAGCUCGGAGGCACAAUGAAAGUGAAGGUGCCCCCGGUCGGGGCACCCAGGUAGGAUCUCGGCGCCGUCGUGCGUCGAGCGCACUACCGGCCCGUCUCGUCCGCAACGUCGGUGGGGCGGAGCAAGAGCGUACACGUUGGGACCC
rnacentral:rRNA from 1 species